rnacentral:rRNA from 1 species
UACGGGGGGGCAAGCGUUGUUCGGAAUUAUUGGGCGUAAAGCGCGUGGUGAAAGCCCGGGGCUCAACCCCGGGUCGGCCGUGCGGACUGCGGGACUCGAGCACUGUAGAGGCGGGCGGAAUUCCGGGUGUAGCGGUGGAAUGCGUAGAGAUCCGGAAGAACACCGGUGGCGAAGGCGGCCCGCUGGGCAGGAUGGCUGACGCUGAGGCGCGGACAGCGUGGGGAGCAAACAGG